rnacentral:rRNA from 1 species
AACGAACGCUGGCGGCAGGCUUAACACAUGCAAGUCGAGCGCCCCGCAAGGGGAGCGGCAGACGGGCGAGUAACGCGUGGGAAUCUACCCAUCUCUACGGAAUAACGCAUGGAAACGUGUGCUAAUACCGUAUACGUCCUUCGGGAGAAAGAUUUAUCGGAGAUGGAUGAGCCCGCGUUGGAUUAGCUAGUUGGUGGGGUAAAGGCCUACCAAGGCGACGAUCCAUAGCUGGUCUGAGAGGAUGAUCAGCCAGACUGGGACUGAGAACGGCCCAGACUCCUACGGGAGGCAGCAGUAGGGAAUUUUCCACAAUGGGCGAAAGCCUGAUGGAGCAACGCCGCGUGCAGGAUGAAGGCCUUCGGGUUGUAAACUGCUUUUAUCUGUGACGAUUAUGACGGUAGCAGAUGAAUAAGGAUCGGCUAACUCCGUGCCAGCAGCCGCCGUAACAC